AUUGAACGCUGGCGGCAGGCCUAACACAUGCAAGUCGAACGAGUGGCGGACGGGUGAGUAAUGUCUGGGAAACUGCCUGAUGGAGGGGGAUAACUACUGGAAACGGUAGCUAAUACAGCAUACCAUCAGAUGUGCCCCGAUGUGAUUAGCUAGUUGGUGGGGUAACGGCUCACCAAGGCGACGAUCCCUAGCUGGUCUGAGAGGAGGACCAGCGACACUGUAACUGAGACACGGUCCAGACUCCUACGGGAGGCAGCAUUGGGGAAUAUUGCACAAUGGGGGAAAGCCUGAUGCAGGCAUGCCGCGUGGAUGAAGAAGGCCUUCGGGUUGUAAAGUACUUUCAGCGGGGAGGCGGGAACCGAAGAAGAAGCACCGGCUAACUCCGUGCCAGCAGCCGCGGUAAAUG
rnacentral:rRNA from 1 species